rnacentral:rRNA from 1 species
UACGUAGGGUGCAAGCGUUGUCCGGAAUUAUUGGGCGUAAAGAGCUCGUAGGCGGUCUGUCACGUCGGCUGUGAAAACCCGAGGCUCAACCUCGGGCCUGCAGUCGAUACGGGCAAACUAGAGUACUGCAGGGGAGACUGGAAUUCCUGGUGUAGCGGUGAAAUGCGCAGAUAUCAGGAGGAACACCGGUGGCGAAGGCGGGUCUCUGGGCAGUAACUGACGCUGGAGGAGCGAAAGCGUGGGGGAGCGAACAGGGA